UACAGAGGUCUCGAGCGUUAGGCGGAAUCACUGGGCUUAAAGCGUGUGUAGGCGGAUCGGUACGUACCUUGUGAAAUCCCACAGCUUAACUGUGGAACUGCUUGGUAUACUGCCAGUCUUGAGCCAGCUAGGGGCUACCGGAACAAAUGGUGGAGCGGUGAAAUGCGUAGAUAUCAUUUGGAACGCCAAUGGUGAAAACAGGUAGCUGGGGCUGUGCUGACGCUGAGACACGAAAGCCAGGGGAGCAAACGGG
rnacentral:rRNA from 1 species